GGGAGAGUGGACAAGUGGAUAAAAGCGACGGACUGUAAAUCUGUUUAAGUUUUUGUACGCAGGUUCGAAUCUUGCCUCUCCUA
rnacentral:tRNA from 1 species